rnacentral:tRNA from 1 species
CAAGGGGUAGCUUACACACCAAAGCACCCGGCUUACAACCGGACCACGUUCCACAUCGAACCUCCUUGC